AUUUUAGAUAGAGGUGCAGUUAUUAAGAGUAAACACACUGAGCUAUCCGGCUAUGAUGUGUGCCGAAAGGAAUAAUUGCCGAAGUAAAAGGCUGUGGUAUAAGGACUUUUACUGGUUAUGUAUUUAAUAGGUACAUGACUGUCACCUAGACGCUGGGUGGAGCACUAUCUCUUAA
rnacentral:ncRNA from 2 species